CUAGUGCAGUGAAGAUAUAAAUAUCGGCCAAUAAAAUUGUAAAUUAAAUAUAUAAAACCUGUUUAAGACAUCACCCCAUACAGAACAUUGUACAUACAUGAAUAUUACAUGUACUGAACGAAUGACAAUUACAAGUGACAAAACAAAACGGACUGCUGGGGUGGAGUUGACCUGUCUACAGCCGUUUGGGGCAUCAAAAUCAAAGGUGCUGAACCAUGUAGCAAAGAUGUGCACUACCACUAAAUGUGCACUAUGGAAUUAUGCCCAGCAAGUCCACUAUCCAAAUCAUGCGCAACAAGUUGGGCCGAUGUAUUUCGCCACCCCACGGAAGUGUCCAUUGUUUCGCAUGUGUGCCUAAGGUUCAGGAAAGUAGAUAUUUUAUCUGGUGGAUGAGGCCGAAUUACCGGGGAAAGGAAGAGACAGUGUUGUGAGCCUGGCCUACAACUACUUUCAGCACCAUGGUGUCUUUGAAAAACAUGCUGAGGGAUUUAGUGCUUCACCCAUUUCAAUCAUCUAUAGAAUAUUUAAUGGAUCAAAGGUUCUAACAAACUAUGCAAACUUCAUCCUUAUUGCUGAGAAGAGAUUAUGAGAAUCAAUAGUGAAUAUAAAAGAUGAUGAAACUUUACAUAUAUUACACCAUGAAACACAUUCUUA